AUUGAACGCUGGCGGCAUGCCUUACACAUGCAAGUCGAACGGCAGCACGGGAGCAAUCCUGGUGGCGAGUGGCGAACGGGUGAGUAAUGUAUCGGAACGUGCCCAGUCGUGGGGGAUAACGUAGCGAAAGCUACGCUAAUACCGCAUACGAUCUGUGGAUGAAAGCGGGGGACCGUAAGGCCUCGUGCGAUUGGGACGGCCGAUAUCAGAUUAGGGAGUUGGGGGGGUAAAGGCCUACCAAGCCGACGAUCUGUAGCUGGUCUGAGAGGACGACCAGCCACACUGGGACUGAGACACGGCCCAGACUCCUACGGGAGGCAGCAGUGGGGAAUUUUGGACAAUGGGCGCAAGCCUGAUCCAGCAAUGCCGCGUGCAGGAUGAAGGCCUUCGGGUUGUAAACUGCUUUUGUACGGAGCGAAAAGGCUCUCUCUAAUACAGGGGGCUCAUGACGGUACCGUAAGAAUAAGCACCGGCUAACUACGUGCCAGCAGCCGCCGUAACAC
rnacentral:rRNA from 1 species